rnacentral:rRNA from 1 species
CCUACGGGAGGCAGCAGUGAGGAAUAUUGGUCAAUGGGCGCGAGCCUGAACCAGCCAAGUAGCGUGAAGGAUGACUGCCCUACGGGUUGUAAACCUCUUUUGCCGGGGAGCAAAGGGCGUCACGUGUGGCGCCACUGAGAGUACCCGGAGAAAAAGCAUCGGCUAACUCCGUGCCAGCAGCCGCGGUAAUACGGAGGAUGCGAGCGUUAUCCGGAUUUAUUGGGUUUAAAGGGUGCGUAGGCGGAUCGUUAAGUCAGUGGUCAAAUUGAGGGGCUCAACCCCUUCCCGCCAUUGAAACUGGCGUUCUUGAGUGGAAGAGAAGUAUGCGGAAUGCGUGGUGUAGCGGUGAAAUACAUAGAUAUCACGCAGAACCCCGAUUGCGAAGGCAGCAUGCCGGCUUCCGACUGACGCUGAAGCACGAAAGCGUGGGGAUCGAACAGGAUUAGAUACCCGAGUAGUC